CGAAGUAGUUCAGACGGCCGCCUGUGCGGAACCUUUUUUGCAUAGGAGGAAAGUCCGGGCUCCACAGGGCUGGGUGCUCUGUAACGCAGAGCGGGGGAGACCCCAGGGAAAGUGCCGCAGAAAAGACACCGCCGCGGGAGCGUUCCAGCGGUAAGGGUGAAAUGGUGGGGUAAGAGCCCACCCGUUUCGGUGGCGACAUCGAGGCGUGGCAAACCCCACCCGGAGCAAGACCAAAUAGGGGGGCGCUGUUUCGAAUUUCGAAUUUCGAAAUUUUAGUAGGGUGGCCCGCCCGAUGUCCCCGGGUAUGGUCGCUGGAGACGCCGGGCAACCGGCGUCCUAGAGGAAUGGUCGUCACUUUCGGAGGGGCGACCCUCCGGGAGAACAGAACCCGGCUUACAGACUACUUCGGCCC
rnacentral:RNase_P_RNA from 1 species